rnacentral:rRNA from 1 species
UACAGAGGGUGCAAGCGUUGUUCGGAAUUACUGGGCGUAAAGCGCGUGUAGGUGGCGAUGUAAGUCGGGUGUGAAAUCCCUUGGCUCAACCAAGGAAGUGCACUCGAUACUGUGUCGCUUGAGUAUCGGAGGGGACGGCGGAAUUCCCGGUGUAGAGGUGAAAUUCGUAGAUAUCGGGAGGAACACCUGUGGCGAAGGCGGCCGUCUGGACGAUUACUGACACUGAGACGCGAAAGCGUGGGUAGCAAGCAGG